UAAAAGGGUGCUCGUCUCGGCGGGUUUCUGAUCGAAAAACUGCUCGACGCAUUGCGCCGCCGACACAUCCAAACACCCUUCUCGGGUGGGGUGUGCGCUGAAUUGCCACCUUUGGUGGGUCGGCGUGCCCAGUGGGGUAUGGCUUUGCAUAUCCAGUGCGUAAUUUUUGUAGCCCUGGGGCUGCGGCUGGCAACGUCAGUCCAUUGGAUUGCAGGUUCGCCUGCGUGCCAGUGGCCGUUUGCGCUGUGCCCCA